CGAGCGGAACGGCAGUAUUGAAGCUUCGGUGGAUUUACUGGACGUCGAGCGGCGGACGGGUGAGUAACGGCUGGGAACCUGCCCUGACGAGGGGGAUAACCGUUGGAAACGACGGCUAAUACCGCAUAAUGUCUACGGACCAAAGGUGGCCUCUACAUGUAAGCUAUCGCGUUGGGAUGGGCCCAGUUAGGAUUAGCUAGUUGGUAAGGUAAUGGCUUACCAAGGCGACGAUCCUUAGCUGGUUUGAGAGGAUGAUCAGCCACACUGGGACUGAGACACGGCCCAGACUCCUACGGGAGGCAGCAGUGGGGAAUAUUGCACAAUGGGGGAGACCCUGAUGCAGCCAUGCCGCGUGUGUGAAGAAGGCCUUCGGGUUGUAAAGCACUUUCAGCAGUGAGGAAGGUGGUGUACUUAAUACGUGCAUGGCUUGACGUUAGCUGCAGAAGAAGCACCGGCUAACUCCGUGCCAGCAGCCGCGGUAAUACGGAGGGUGCGAGCGUUAAUCGGAAUUACUGGGCGUAAAGCGCAUGCAGGCGGUUUGUUAAGUCAGAUGUGAAAGCCCGGGGCUCAACCUCGGAACCGCAUUUGAAACUGGCAGGCUAGAGUCUUGUAGAGGGGGGUAGAAUUUCAGGUGUAGCGGUGAAAUGCGUAGAGAUCUGAAGGAAUACCAGUGGCGAAGGCGGCCCCCUGGACAAAGACUGACGCUCAGAUGCGAAAGCGUGGGUAGCAAACAGGAUUAGAUACCCUGGUAGUCCACGCCGUAAACGCUGUCUACUUGGAGGUUGAGGUUUAGAAUUUGGGUUUC
rnacentral:rRNA from 1 species